UUUUUUUUUUUUUUUUUUCCCUUAUUUUUUUUUUUUUUUUUUUUUUUUUUUUUUU
rnacentral:ribozyme from 1 species